rnacentral:tRNA from 1 species
AUACAAAUAGGCUAAAAAAGCUUUUAAAUUCAUAAUUUAAAGAUAAAAUUAUUUUUUUUUGUAUA